rnacentral:snRNA from 1 species
AUGCUUGCUUCGGCAGCAUGUAUACUAAAAUUGGAAUGAUACAGAGAAGAUUAGCAUGGCCCCUGCGCAAAGAUGACAUGCAAAUUCAUGAAGCAUUCCAUUAAAAA